rnacentral:rRNA from 1 species
GACGAACGCUGGCGGCGUGCUUAACACAUGCAAGUCGAACGGUGAAGGGGUCUGCUUUUGUGGGCCCUGGAUGAGUGGCGAACGGGUGAGUAACACGUGAGUAACCUGCCCCCUUCUUCUGGAUAACCGCAUGAAAGUGUGGCUAAUACGGGAUAUUCUGGGUCUGUCGCAUGAUGGGUCUGGGAAAGAUUGCGCCUUUGGGUGUUUUUGGUGGGGGAUGGGCUCGCGGCCUAUCAGCUUGUUGGUGGGGUGAUGGCCUACCAAGGCGGUGACGGGUAGCCGGCAUGAGAGGGUGGACGGUCACACUGGGACUGAGACACGGCCCAGACUCCUACGGGAGGCAGCAGUGGGGAAUAUUGCACAAUGGGCGCAAGCCUGAUGCAGCGACGCCGCGUGAGGGAUGGAGGCCUUCGGGUUGUAAACCUCUUUCGCCAGUGAAGCAGGCCUGCUCCUCGUGGGUGGGUUGACGGUAGCUGGAUAAGAAGCGCCGGCUAACUACGUG